rnacentral:rRNA from 1 species
AGAGUUUGAUCAUGGCUCAGGAUGAACGCUGGCGGCGUGCCUAACACAUGCAAGUCGAACGGACUGAGGCGAGCUUGCUCAAAUCAGUUGUGCGGACGGGUGAGUAACGCGUGGGUAACCUGCCGUAUACAGGGGGAUAACAGUUAGAAAUGACUGCUAAUACCGCAUAAGCGCACAGUACCGCAUGGUACAGUGUGAAAGGCCGGGACGGUAUACGAUGGACCCGCGUCUGAUUAGCCGGUUGGCGGGGUAACGGCCCACCAAAGCAACGAUCAGUAGCCGGCCUGAGAGGGUGGACGGCCACAUUGGGACUGAGACACGGCCCAAACUCCUACGGGAGGCAGCAGUGGGGGAUAUUGCACAAUGGGGGGAACCCUGAUGCAGCGACGCCGCGUGAGUGAAGAAGUAUUUCGGUAUGUAAAGCUCUAUCAGCAGGGAAGAAGAAAGACGGUACCUGAAUAAGAAGCACCGGCUAAAUACGUGCCAGCAGCCGCGGUAAUACGUAUGGUGCAAGCGUUAUCCGGAUUUACUGGGUGUAAAGGGAGCGUAGACGGCUGUGCAAGUCUGAAGUGAAAGCCCGGGGCUCAACCGCGGGACUGCUUUGGAAACUGUUCAGCUGGAGUGCAGGAGAGGUAAGUGGAAUUCCUGGUGUAGCGGUGAAAUGCGUAGAUAUCAGGAGGAACACCGGCGGCGAAGGCGGCUUACUGGACUGUAACUGACGUUGAGGCUCGAAGGCGUGGGGAGCAAACAGGAUUAGAUACCCUGGUAGUCCACGCGGUAAACGAUGAUCACUAGGUGUC